UAUGUAAACCUAUAUAUAUAUAAACUACAUGCCCUUUUUCACUCAUUCCACACCUAAAUUUUUACAAACCCAAAAAAUACUAGUAGCUACGACGAAUCCCAAGCAAAUCAACUCAAUUGUCCGACCCAAGGCCACCACGGUGACCUCCCAGAUAGUCUUCAUUUCUGAAUGAGAGAGAAGCGGACAGGUAAUGUGUGUUUUUCUCUCCUCCUCUCUCUACUCACGGGUGUAUUUGGAACACCUAAUCACAGCCAUUAUUGAUGAAAUGGUAGUGUCGAUCAUUACUAAGGGAUUGCCAAAGACAUUCAACAGCGUGAGUAGCAUCGCCGGAGGCGUGUGAAGAAAGUUGGGUGAUCAAGGAGACCGAGUAGACGUUGUGUAUUUGUUCAUUGCUAUCGAGGUGAGUUCGAUAAGGGCAACCAACACCCUGUGGAGUAAUCACGAUGGCAUGGAUACUAUGAUCUUGUAGGGUUAGGGUUUGCUUAUCAUUCAAAUUUUUUAUAAGCUUCUGCGUAUUUGAUUUUCGUCAGACUUUAUUUAUUUUAUCUUAACGUUGCUAGUAGAUUUUGU